GACGAACGCUGGCGGCGUGCUUAACACAUGCAAGUCGAACGGAAAGGCCCUGCUUUUGUGGGGUGCUCGAGUGGCGAACGGGUGAGUAACACGUGAGUAACCUGCCCUUGACUUUGGUAUAACUUCAGGAAACUGGGGCUAAUACCUGAUAGGAUCUCCUGCUGCAUGGUGGGGGUUGGAAAGUUUCGGCGGUUGGGGAUGGACUCGCGGCUUAUCAGCUUGUUGGUUGGGUAGUGGCUUACCAAGGCUUUGACGGGUAGCCGGCCUGAGAGGGUGACCGGAAAAAAUGGGACUGAGAGAAGGACCAGAAGCAUACGGGAGGAAGCAGUGGGGAAUAUGGAACAAUGGGAGGAAGCCUGAGGCAGAAACGCCGCGUGCGGGAUGACGGCCUUCGGGUUGUAAACAGAUUUAGCAUGUGACGAAGCGUGAGUGACGGUAAUGGGUAAAGAAGCACCGGCUAACUACGUG
rnacentral:rRNA from 1 species